rnacentral:rRNA from 1 species
UGAGGUCAGGCAAGANCACCCG